AAAUUGAAGAGUUUGAUCAUGGCUCAGAUUGAACGCUGGCGGCAGGCCUAACACAUGCAAGUCGAACGGUAACAGAAAGCAGCUUGCUGCUUUGCUGACGAGUGGCGGACGGGUGAGUAAUGUCUGGGAAACUGCCUGAUGGAGGGGGAUAACUACUGGAAACGGUAGCUAAUACCGCAUAACGUCGCAAGACCAAAGAGGGGGACCUUAGGGCCUCUUGCCAUCGGAUGUGCCCAGAUGGGAUUAGCUAGUAGGUGGGGUAACGGCUCACCUAGGCGACGAUCCCUAGCUGGUCUGAGAGGAUGACCAGCCACACUGGAACUGAGACACGGUCCAGACUCCUACGGGAGGCAGCAGUGGGGAAUAUUGCACAAUGGGCGCAAGCCUGAUGCAGCCAUGCCGCGUGUAUGAAGAAGGCCUUCGGGUUGUAAAGUACUUUCAGCGGGGAGGAAGGGAGUAAAGUUAAUACCUUUGCUCAUUGACGUUACCC
rnacentral:rRNA from 1 species